GACGUAGGGUGCAAGCGUUGUCCGGAUUUAUUGGGCGUAAAGAGUUCGUAGGUGGUUUGUUAAGUCUGAUGUUAAAGACCGGGGCUCAACCUCGGGACUGCAUUGGAUACUGGCAGACUUGAGUGUGGUAGAGGCAAUCGGAAUUCCAGGUGUAGCGGUGAAAUGCGUAGAUAUCUGGAAGAACACCGGUGGCGCAAGCGGAUUGCUGGGCCAUAACUGACACUGAGGAACGAAAGCUAGGGUAGCGAAUGGG
rnacentral:rRNA from 1 species